AUUGAACGCUGGCGGCAGGCUUAACACAUGCAAGUCGAACGGUAACAGGGGAAAGCUUGCUUUCUUGCUGACGAGUGGCGGACGGGUGAGUAAUGCUUGGGAAUCUGGCUUAUGGAGGGGGAUAACGACGGGAAACUGUCGCUAAUACCGCGUAGAAUCGAGAGAUGAAAGUGCGGGACCGCAAGACCGCAUGCCAUAGGAUGAGCCCAAGUGGGAUUAGGUAGUUGGUGGGGUAAAGGCCUACCAAGCCGACGAUCUCUAGCUGGUCUGAGAGGAUGACCAGCCACACCGGGACUGAGACACGGCCCGGACUCCUACGGGAGGCAGCAGUGGGGAAUAUUGCGCAAUGGGGGCAACCCUGACGCAGCCAUGCCGCGUGAAUGAAGAAGGCCUUCGGGUUGUAAAGUUCUUUCGGUGACGAGGAAGGUUGUUGUG
rnacentral:rRNA from 1 species